UACGGAGGGUGCAAGCGUUAUCCGGAUUCACUGGGUUUAAAGGGUGCGUAGGCGGGCAGGUAAGUCAGUGGUGAAAUCUUCGAGCUUAACUCGGAAACUGCCGUUGAUACUAUCUGUCUUGAAUUUAGUGGAGGUAAGCGGAAUAUGUCAUGUAGCGGUGAAAUGCUUAGAUAUGACAUAGAACACCAAUUGCGAAGGCAGCUUGCUACACUAUUAUUGACGCUGAGGCACGAGAGCGUGGGGAUCAAACAGGAUUAGAUA
rnacentral:rRNA from 1 species